UUUAAAACAUAGUGUUAAGCUUACCGUUUUCCUUUUCCACUUUGAGUCCUUCAUGUACCCAUGGGUUUAUUAGCUUACAUGUUACCAAUUUUUCUCCAAUCAAGCCAAUCUUUGCUGCCAUAAGACAUUUCUCUAAGUCACUAACUCAUUUUCAAAGACUACUCAAGCCAAAAACAAAGAAUUCUUACCGUUCCUUGCUUGAAUCGCCAAAACCAAGCUUUUUCUUCCUUUUUCUCUUUUUCUUUCUUCUCCUCUUGGGGUUUAGGUGUGCUGGAAAUUGAGGUUAAAGGCUGUAAAUUUAAUGCUCAAGAAGUUUGGAAAAGAAAGGAAAAGAAAACAUGGAAAGAAAAGUGAAGAAAACUUGAUUUCAUGGUGGAUAAAGAGAAAAUGGCAUGGAAGCUUCAAGAAUGGCGUGGAGCAUGGAUGAAGAAGAAGAAAA
rnacentral:lncRNA from 1 species